rnacentral:sRNA from 1 species
UUUCCGACACUUCGUCGGCCGCGACAGC